GGCGAGUCUCUCUCUUUCCGAGUUUAGCAGAGUGAGAGGUGGUUUCCUCCACCCACAAGUCCUACAGGGAGAGGAAGGCUGAGGGUCUCAGAACAAGGAGGGGACUGAGGCAAGGGGAAACUCCUUUACGCAAAGGAAGAUCUGUCUUCUCAAGUUCUCCCCUCUUAUUGCCAGGUCAAUUCUGGCCUUAACAUUGUGUUUUCCUCUAUUCUGGGAAGAGAACAAUUAGCUCACACAACAUGUUGAUGAACCCCUCAUGACAUCAAGGGCGGCAAAAGAAGCUGACACAG